rnacentral:rRNA from 1 species
AUUGAACGCUGGCGGCAGGCCUAACACAUGCAAGUCGAACGGUAACAGGAAGAAGCUUUCUUCUUUGCUGACGAGUGGCGGACGUGUGAGUAAUGUCUGGGAAACUGCCUGAUGGAGGGGGAUAACUACUGGAAACGGUAGCUAAUACCGCAUAAUGUCGCAAGACCAAAGAGGGGGACCUUCGGGCCUCUUGCCAUCGGAUGUGCCCAGAUGGGAUUAGCUAGUAGGUGGGGUAACGGCUCACCUAGGCGACGAUCCCUAGCUGGUCUGAGAGGAUGACCAGCCACACUGGAACUGAGACACGGUCCAGACUCCUACGGGAGGCAGCAGUGGGGAAUAUUGCACAAUGGGCGCAAGCCUGAUGCAGCUAUGCCGCGUGUAUGAAGAAGGCCUUCGGGUUGUAAAGUACUUUCAGCGGGGAGGAAGGGAGUAAAGUUAAUACCUUUGCUAAUUGACGUUACCUGCAGAAGAAGCACCGGCUAACUCCGUG